GAAUGUCUCCGCAGAGUCGAUAGUUAUCAACUGAGUUCGUUAGUAACAACCAACUAACUAUCCAAGGAAACAACUAUAAUAUCGAGGUUAUUAUUUUUCCAGUUCAAUAUAAUCCUUGCUUAUCUUCUUCUUUAUCUUCGACUAUAAUCUUCUGGUGGAUUCCAGAUUUACUAAGCUGGUGAAUUUCGACCUUCUCCCCUUGUAACGUGCAACAAUUCCGCUAACCAAUCGAUGAUAUUGAUUCUUGAUUUUAGUUCUUACUUAUGUAUUUCAUCGAACACCUAUAAAAUUGCUACUAUUGUGAUUUAUCAAUUGAAUAAAAUAGAGAUUGGCUUCUCCUGUGCAUUCGCUCCCCAAAUUCUUCCCUCAAUGGACUGUUACUGUUAUUUACCCUUGUUUUUUUGCAAUUUAUUGCCUACCAUUAAACCCUAAUUCUAAUCCUUCAACUUUAAAACCAGGUUUUUUUUUGAAUAUAUUGUAUGCCGAUGUUUAAUUAUUUCCGUUAAUGUUUUUUCUGUAUUGUGUAAACUAUUGUUUUUUUCACUUUUCAGAUUGCUUCAAGCAACUCACAGAUUCUGGAUUCAUUUUAUAAUUCUAAUUAAUUCAACACCCAACAUCCAAAGCAAACAAGCAGCAUCUAGUGGAAUAUUGCCCUAUAUGUAACUAGAAUAUGUAAAAAUCCCUCAUAUAUAGUCUUAUUCUGAAGAUAUAUCCCCAAUUUUGUAAACCUUUACUUAUUCUUCAUCCUCUUAGCAUUGCCUUCUUUCA
rnacentral:lncRNA from 1 species